AUCCCGAAAUCCUGGAACCUCUAGGUCUUGGCCAGUUAACUAGCAGCGGGCUCUGCAGUGGACCUCGAGGUUUGCUGAGAGCCGUGUUCUUGCGGCGGAGGCAGAAGCGAGACGUCUCCGGACGCCCUCCCACGCGGCGGGACCCCGCAAUACCCGGGUCUGGCCUGGACCUCGCCAGGGGAAGAAGUAACCUGCGGGAGAGUCAGGCAUCUGUGUCCUUCAAGGAUGUGACUGUGGAGUUUACCCAGGAGGAGUGGCGGCAGAUGAGCCCUGCUCGGAGGACCCUGUACAGAGAUGUGAUGCUGGAGAACUACAGCCACCUUGUGUCUUCGGAAUCCUGAUUCAAGAAGGAAAUAAGAGCAACAGCAGGAAAAGGCUUGUACCCUCUACCUGAACUCUGGCUUCUGUUGCACUGUGAGACUAUCCAUGAACUUGACCACAGUAAGAGCUUCGCCUUUGAUUUGUCCAGAUUUAAGGGCUAAUCACCAAGAAGUAAUGCGCAACAUGUAAAGCUUAGCAGCCUGUGUUUGUAGUCAAGCAGACCUGAGUUCAAGCCUUGGCUUUGCUAUUAUGGGCUCUGUGACCAUGGAAAACCCCUUAACCUCUCUGUGCUCUGCAAA
rnacentral:lncRNA from 1 species